AGAGUUUGAUCCUGGCUCAGGACGAACGCUGGCGGCGUGCUUAACACAUGCAAGUCGAACGAUGACGGUGGUGCUUGCACCGCCUGAUUAGUGGCGAACGGGUGAGUAACACGUGAGUAACCUGCCCCCCACUUCGGGAUAACCUCGGGAAAUCGGGGCUAAUACCGGAUAUGAGCUACUACCGCAUGGUGGUGGUUGGAAAGUUUUUCGGUGGGGGAUGGACUCGCGGCCUAUCAGUUUGUUGGUGAGGUAGUGGCUCACCAAGGCGAUGACGGGUAGCCGGCCUGAGAGGGCGACCGGCCACACUGGGACUGAGACACGGCCCAGACUCCUACGGGAGGCAGCAGUGGGGAAUAUUGCACAAUGGGCGAAAGCCUGAUGCAGCGACGCCGCGUGAGGGAUGACGGCCUUCGGGUUGUAAACCUCUUUCAGUAGGGAAGAAGCGAAAGUGACGGUACCUGCAGAAGAAGCGCCGGCUAACUACGUGCCAGCAGCCGCGGUAAUACGUAGGGCGCAAGCGUUGUCCGGAAUUAUUGGGCGUAAAGAGCUUGUAGGUGGCUUGUCGCGUCUGCCGCGAAAACCCGAGGCUCAACCUCGGGCGUGCGGUGGGUACGGGCAGGCUAGAGUGUGGUAGGGGAGACUGGAACUCCUGGUGUAGCGGUGAAAUGCGCAGAUAUCAGGAAGAACACCGAUGGCGAAGGCAGGUCUCUGGGCCAUUACUGACACUGAGAAGCGAAAGCAUGGGGAGCGAACAGGAGGAGAUACCCUGGUAGUCCAUGCCGUAAACGUUGGGCACUAGGUGGGGGGAACAUUCCACGUUUUCCCCCGCCGUAACUAACGCAUUAAGUGCCCCG
rnacentral:rRNA from 1 species